ACGAAGAAAUUCUUGCCAUUAGUUGAAAGUAUUUUGUAAGACAGUUUAAAGACAGCAAGCAAAAUAGUUUGAAAGAUUUUGCUUAUUCUGUCUUGAAAGUCU